AGGAAAAGUUUAGGAAGGCUGUGCAAGUCACAUGCAGGGAGGUGUGACUAGGGUGCAUAAAUAAAGUGAUUUAACUCCUAAAUGGCAGAGAAAUGAGCGGUAACACUGCAGGGAAAUUAUCUAUACACCAAAACUGCUUCAUUAAUCAAAAGUUGUUUUGGUGACUAUAGUGUCCCUUUAAGGCCAAAGUAGUCAGACUGAAAUCACAGGUUACUGGGAGAGUUUUUACAGUUCAGCCAUUUUGUCCAUAAAUGUGAAAUUCACCAGGAAGAACCCUGCUAUUAUUCUGCAGAUGGCAGUGUUCUCACGAGUGUAUGCACAAUAUUACCCCAGACAUGACAUGCUGCGAAUGCAAGAGUUACUAACCUCAGAGGUGUUACUCACCAAAUAAAUGCUUCAGUGGUGGGAACGAGGA